rnacentral:rRNA from 1 species
GACGAACGCUGGCGGCGUGCCUAACACAUGCAAGUCGAGCGAGUGAAUCUCCUUCGGGAGUGAAACUAGCGGCGAACGGGUGAGUAACACGUGGGCAACCUGCCUCAUAGAGGGGAAUAGCCUUUCGAAAGGAAGAUUAAUACCGCAUAAGAUUGUAGCUUCGCAUGAAGUAGCAAUUAAAGGAGUAAUCCGCUAUGAGAUGGGCCCGCGGCGCAUUAGCUAGUUGGUGAGGUAACGGCUCACCAAGGCGACGAUGCGUAGCCGACCUGAGAGGGUGAUCGGCCACAUUGGGACUGAGACACGGCCCAGACUCCUACGGGAGGCAGCAGUGGGGAAUAUUGCACAAUGGGGGAAACCCUGAUGCAGCAACGCCGCGUGAGUGAUGACGGCCUUCGGGUUGUAAAGCUCUGUCUUCAGGGACGAUAAUGACGGUACCUGAGGAGGAAGCCACGGCUAACUACGUGCCAGCCGCCGCAGUAACAC